AAAAGAACUUUGAAGAGAGAGUUCAAAAGGGCGUGAAACCGCUUAGAAUAAAACGGACGGAGCCGUCCGGGGCCUUCAGGAAUCAGUCGUAUCGGAGACGAACCCGUCUCUCGAUUAGAACGCAAGUCUAGUCGAGGGCGAGAAUCUUAGUAGUCUUGAGGCGACGCAUUUCCCGAAGGUAUGCACUGCGACCGAUACGAAAGGCCAGCGAAGCGAUGGGUUUGAGGGCGAACGGUCUCACGACCGAUCGUUUCCAGUCCCAACGCGUGAGUCGCUGGACCGCAGUAUGUAUCGAGCGCCAUCGCAUCUAACGAAUAUCGGCCGUAAAGCAGGCUCGAUAAGUGAUGGAUAGUCGAUCGACUAGGCUACGCUUGCUCGCAGGCGUGGUCGAACUCGGUCGAUUCAGAAGUCUCUAUCGACGCUUAGAUAUUCGGGCGUCCGCAGUGUCAGUGUCGGCCACCCAUCCGACCCGUCUUGAAACACGGACCAAGGAGUCUAACAUAUGCGCGAGCUAAUGGGUGUAAAAACCCACAGGCGCAAUGAAAGUAAACGCUGUUUCGGACAGCUAAGGUACGAUCCCCGACCUCAUCAAUGGUCGGGGCGCAGUACCGUCCCGUCCCGAUCGUAUAUCGAUAGGGCGGAGACAGAGUGCAUACGUUGGGACCCGAAAGAUGGUGAACUAUGCCCGAGCAGAGCGAAGCCAGAGGAAACUCUGGUGGAGGUUCGUAGCGGUUCUGACGUGCAAAUCGAUCGUCAGAC
rnacentral:rRNA from 1 species